UACGAAGGGGGCUAGCGUUGCUCGGAAUCGCUGGGCGUAAAGGGUGCGUAGGCGGGUCUUUAAGUCAGGGGUGAAAUCCUGGAGCUCAACUCCAGAACUGCCUUUGAUACUGGGGAUCUCGAGUCCGGGAGAGGUGAGUGGAACUCCGAGUGUAGAGGUGAAAUUCGUAGAUAUUCGGAAGAACACCAGUGGCGAAGGCGGCUCACUGGCCCGGUACUGACGCUGAGGUGCGAAAGCGUGGGGAGCAAACAGG
rnacentral:rRNA from 1 species